rnacentral:tRNA from 1 species
UAGCUCAGUGGCAGAGCACACGUUUCAUAAGCGUAAGGUCAGAGGUUCGAAUCCUCU